UUGCCUAUUCCCAGGCUCCCUACUUCUGUGUGAUAUGUUUGAUAUUAGGUUGUUUGAUUGGGAAUCAACUAAAUGUCAAACAUAUUCUUACAGCGGUUGGGUGAUUCAGCAUCACUAUGA
rnacentral:pre_miRNA from 12 species